ACGCACACACAUACCCUAUCAGCUUACCUGGAUGGCAUUGACCGUGAAUGCGACACACCCAUACCGGAGACCUCGGAGACUGAACAUGAAGACUCGCAGCCUGCGCAGGAGUUUAGCUAUCCAGUGAAUACCACAGUACAAGCCUCCGUCCCCACCACCUCAUUAGGGGUGGAAGCGAAAC